rnacentral:lncRNA from 1 species
CAGUCAUUCACAUUGGAGACUCAACAACCAGGAAAUUUCAACCCUGUCCAGCAAAAUCCCAGGUUGUGUCAAAGUACAAUGCAACUUACAGGAAGAACAACUGAAUAAUUGAUCCCAGCAGCCGUUUAACUGGAGACCUAUGGUUUAAAAAGGAUCAUCUGUCUAUGAAGAGAAGGAAGCAUAUAAUCUUCAUUAUACAGAGGUUUCCAUGUAAAAUACUGCAUUUUUAGAAGACUGACAUCUAAAGGGAGAAGCUUCAAUUAUCUGAAAAAGUCAAUGAUUGCCUAGUGAUGUCAACUAAAUGAGCUUUACUGUGUCGAGAUUCUUACUGGAGCCAAAAGAAAAUCAGCAUG